rnacentral:RNase_P_RNA from 5 species
GCCGCAGGCCGCUCUAUCGCUUUUCCCGGGCAACCGGGGGAGGAGGAAAGUCCGGGCAACGAAGGGCACCAUGUUUCCUAACGGGAAGGCAGGCGAAAGUUUGCAGUAAGGUAACAGAAAAUAACCACCCCGAGUAAUCGGGGAACGGGUGAAAAGGUGAGGUAAAAGCUCACCGGUUCCGGUGGAGACACCGGGAGCCGUACCUCUCAUGGGUUGCAAAGCCAAAUAUAUUACGAUUUGUCGGGUAACCGGCAAGCAGGGCUGCCCGCCUUGUUUUCAGCAAUGAAUGUCGUAAGGGGUAGGCUGCUUACGAUCAUGUCAGCAAUGGCAUGGCCAGAUAAAUGAUAGAGGUUUUGUUUCGGCAACGAGGCAGAAUACAGAACCCGGCUUACAGGCCUGCGUUUUUU